rnacentral:lncRNA from 1 species
GUUAUUUCAUUAUAUUAGUGAUUUUAUUUUAGCAAAUUUUAAAGUCAUAAUUUUAAAUAUUUUAGUGACAGUUUAGUAAGAGGGUAAAAGGUUGACAAAUGAGGAAAUAAAAGAAAGACCAAAGUGCCCAAUAAAAAAAGAAAUACUAAAACUGUCAUUCAACAAUCAUGAGGAUAUAAUUACAACUAAAUACAAAACAAAUAUAAAAUACUAAAGUAACAUGUUGGACUAUGCAACAUUUACGUUGAGAGAAAUCAUAGAUAUUAGAAGACUUCUUCUCUCUGUUCGUCAUUGUCAUUAUUAAAAGACUGUUU